rnacentral:rRNA from 1 species
CCUACGGGUGGCAGCAGUGAGGAAUCUUGGUCAAUGGACGCAAGUCUGAACCAGCCAUGCCGCGUGCAGGAUGAAGGCUCUAUGAGGUGUAAACUGCUUUUGUACGAGGGUAAACCCCGAAACGUGUAUAGGGAUGAAAGUAUAGUACGAAUAAGGAGCGGCGAACUCCCGGCCAGCAGCCGCGGUAAUACGGAGGAUCCGAGCGUUAUCCGGAUUGAUUGGGUUUAAAGGGUGCGUAGGCGGUUUGAUAAGUUAGAGGUGAAAUGUCGGGGCUCAACCCCGAAACUGCCUCUAAUACUGUUGGACUAGAGAAUAGUUGCGGUAGGCGGAAUGUAUGGUGUAGCGGUGAAAUGCUUAGAGAUCAUACAGAACACCGAUUGCGAAGGCAGCUUACCAAACUAUAUCUGACGUUGAGGCACGAAAGCGUGGGUAGCAAACAGGAUUAGAUACCCCUGUAGUC